rnacentral:lncRNA from 10 species
AGAAAUUAAUGUUAUGACUGGAUGAAGACAAUUGUGAAGAAACUGCACUUUGAGGUUGUCUAUCUCUGUAUUCUGAUGGAAAAGCGUGGAGUUUAGAAGCACUGCUCACUCCUUCAGUUUCUAACAAACUGAAUAAAUUCGACCAUCUUCUGAGCAUGUGGUUUUGAGGAAUAAUAAAAAUCCAGACCAUCAUGAAGUAGUGGUGGGCAACUGUAAUCCCAGCUACUCAGGAGGCUGAGAUAGGAGAAUUGCUUGAGCCUGGGAGGCAAAGGUUGUGGUGAGUCAAGAUGGUGUCACUGCACUCUAGGUGACAGAGUGAGACCCUGUCUCAAAAAGUAAAUAAAUAAAUAAAUAACUGAAAUAUUUACUUUAUACUUCAGUAAUGCUGAUUGUGUUUUGCAAAAUUUAUGUUGUUCUUGUAUUUUAAAAAUAUAAAGUUUUUAUUAGCUCCCAAAGGCCAUAUUAUAGACAGUAUAUCUGUGUAAGAAUACCACCAAUAUAUUGAGAACAUGAUAAAAACUUCUCCUACUGUCUCUUUAAUGCUUAUUUGAAAAUUUUCUCAUUAGUCUAUUAUUAAUGAUUGUAAUGUAUUUUCUAUGAAGUUUUACUGUUCUUCAUUGAAUAGCAAUGAUUCACAAUGUCUUCUCUUCAUGAGUACACACAGUUAAAAACUGCAGAUAUCUAAAGAAUUAUUUUUCAUAGUAUAUCUAUGUUGUAUUCAGCAUUUUAUGCAUUAAAAUCUCUCUUAUUUUCAAUUCUAGUUUGAGACUAUGGUUAGGUGGUGAGGAAGGCAGGCUCAGCACCCAAGCCUUGGGGAGACGCAGAAAGGGCCCAUCCCAGGCACUCAGGUGGAGCACACACAGUCUUCACAAAAAAGUCAGCUCUGAGUGUGAGGUGGUGUUAAUCUGGGCGAGGCAAUGACAAGUGAUGGCAAAUAAAAAUAACCCUAAGACAAGAUUUUCAGAAUAAAUUAAAUUUUCUUAACUUACUGGAAAAAAUUACAUUACUAGCCAUGUAACAAACCUAUUUUGUACAGGUGGUGAAACCAAAUUUUAAGUAUAAAUUAUGAUGUAUUAAAAAACAAAAAGAAUAUUUUUGUGGUCUUAGAAAAAAAUUAUUAAAUGAACCAAGUAAGCAGAAUAUACAACAUUUUCAAAUACUAAAGAAAAAAAUCAUUGAAAAUUGCAAAAUUUUAGGCUCCAAAAGACUCACUAAUUUAAUAGAAGCAGAAAUCCUACAGCUAGAAAAUUUCAGGUGGUCUGUCCUAGAGAACGUUCCAUGUGGAUUUGAGAAGAAUAUAUAUUCUCAUGUUGGAUGCAGUGCUGUGCAUAUGUUUGUUAGGUUUAGUUGUUUUAUGUUGUUGUUCAUGUUUUCUAUUUUUUAUCUUCUGUCUACUUGUUCUAUCCAUUAAUAUAAGUGAAGCAUUAAAGUCUCCAACUAUUACUGUUGAAGGGAUAAAGGAAAACAUCCUCAUAAUGAAUUAACUCAUGUGGAGCCUCAGCAGAGAAAUGGAAAUGAUGAAAAGAAUGGAAUAGAGAGAUAAUGAAAUGAAAAAUUAAAAAGACCGUUGAGUUUAUAAACAGUAGAAACAGAAGACAGCAAUAGAAAUCAUCCAAUCUGAAGAGUGAAACAAGUUUGAAGAAAAUGAAAAGCGCCUUGGAGACCUGUGGAAUGACUGAGUCCGAGAAGGAGAGGGAGAGACAGAAAAAUUAAAUGUGAUACAAAAGCAAAUAAACAAUAGCCGAAAACUUGCAAAAUUUGGUCAAAACCCCAAAUUUGUAUAUUCAAAAGGUGAGCACACUUCAAAAAGAAAAUACACAUAAAACCAUACCAAGGCCCUAUUAGAAGACUGGCAGGGCAGGGUUUUCAAGGGACUUGCUAUGAUUUCUCAUUUUCACUAUUUAUAAUAAUGGACAAUAUGCUCUCCUUAGAGUUUUCUUCCUGCAGAAAGUCUGUUACGUCAGGUGCAGAUGACUUUUUAGUCUAGUUUUCAAGGUUUAAUUUCUUAACUUGGAAAUCAAUUAAAUUUGUUUCUUAAAAUCUUGCAGUAAAACUGAUGCUCCAGAAAGAUGCCCAGGGAGAUUCUGUCCUGCUGCGUCCGCACUGUACAGAACUGACGCUGUGCCUACGCCCGUUUCAGAAGCGUGGAGUACUUAAGAGUUAAUC